rnacentral:sRNA from 1 species
AUGGAUUAAAGACGUUGUUCGGCUCUUUUACAUCAUUACUCCCACACAAUCUUUGACUCUCUUUCUCU